rnacentral:tRNA from 2 species
GCCCGGGUGGUGGAACUUGGUAGACACACAGGACUUAAAAUCCUGUGGGCCUUUCAGCCCGUGCCGGUUCGAGUCCGGCCCCGGGCA